rnacentral:rRNA from 1 species
UACGGAGGGUGCAAGCGUUAAUCGGAAUUACUGGGCGUAAAGGGCACGCAGGCGGGCUUUUAAGUCAGAUGUGAAAUCCCCUGGCUCAACCUGGGAACUGCAUUUGAUACUGGGAGGCUUGAGUACUGUAGAGGGGGGUAGAAUUCCACGUGUAGCGGUGAAAUGCGUAGAGAUGUGGAGGAAUACCGAAGGCGAAGGCAGCCCCCUGGGAGUGUACUGACGCUCAGGUGCGAAAGCGUGGGGAGCAAACAGG